GAGUAACACGUGAGCAACCUGCCCUGGACUCUGGGAUAAGCGCUGGAAACGGCGUCUAAUACUGGAUAUGAGCCUCUUCCGGCAUGGUGGGGGUUGGAAGAUUUUGGUCUGGGAUGCUCGCGGCCUAUCAGCUUGUUGGUGAGGUAAUGGCUCACCAAGGCGUCGACGGGUAGCCGGCCUGAGAGGGUGACCGGCCACACUGGGACUGAGACACGGCCCAGACUCCUACGGGAGGCAGCAGUGGGGAAUAUUGCACAAUGGGCGAAAGCCUGAUGCAGCAACGCCGCGUGAGGGAUGACGGCCUUCGGGUUGUAAACCUCUUUUAGCAGGGAAGAAGCGAAAGUGACGGUACCUGCAGAAAAAGCGCCGGCUAACUACGUGCCAGCAGCCGCGGUAAUACGUAGGGCGCAAGCGUUAUCCGGAAUUAUUGGGCGUAAAGAGCUCGUAGGCGGUUUGUCGCGUCUGCUGUGAAAUCCCGAG
rnacentral:ncRNA from 1 species